rnacentral:rRNA from 1 species
UCCCCUUCGGGGGGCGAGUAGAGUGGCGUCCGGGUGAGUAACACGUAGGUAAUCUACCUUCGGGUGGGGAAUAACGCAGGGAAACUUGCGCUAAUACCGCAUAAUGCAGCGGCACCACAUGGUGACAGUUGUUAAAGCGGGGGAUUUUCGAACCUCGCGCCUGAAGAGGAGCCUGCGGCAGAUUAGCUAGUUGGUAGGGUAACGGCUUACCAAGGCGACGAUCUGUAGCCGGCCUGAGAGGGCGGUCGGCCACACUGACACUGACAUACGGGUCAGACUCCUACGGGAGGCAGCAGUCGGGAAUUUUGGGCAAUGGGCGAAAGCCUGACCCAGCAACGCCGCGUGAAGGAUGAAAUCCCUCGGGAUGUAAACUUCGCAAGAAUGGGAAGAAUUAGCGAGUAUUAAUACUGCUCGUGAUGACGGUACCAUUUGUAAGCUCCGGCUAACUCCGUGCCAGCAGCCGCGGUAAUACGGGGGGAGCAAGCGUUGUUCGGAUUUACUGGGCGUAAAGGGCGCGUAGGCGGUCAGCACAAGUCAGUUGUGAAAUCUCCGGGCUUAACUCGGAAAGGUCAACUGAUACUGUGCGACUAGAGUGCAGAAGGGGCAACUGGAAUUCUCGGUGUAGCGGUGAAAUGCGUAGAUAUCGAGAGGAACACCUGCGGCGAAGGCGGGUUGCUGGGCUGACACUGACGCUGAGUGCGCGAAAGCCAGGGGAGCGAACGGGAUUAGAUACCCCGGUAGUCCUGGCCUUAAACGAUGGAUGCUUGGUGUCUGGAGUUUUAUAGUCUCCGGGUGCCG